rnacentral:lncRNA from 1 species
CUCGCUCAGCGGCCAAGGUGGGCGUCUCCACCACAAUCUCCUGGAUCCGGGCAGGCAAUGGGCAGCAGUUCUGGAAGCUAACCCACCUGCUUUCCGGGGCCCAGCCCGUGCCCUCACCAGCCUCACAGUUUCCAGGAGACAGUGGAGCAACAGCUCUGAGGGACUCAUCAGGUGCCUCAAGCUUGAGCCUUCUGACAAGACACUGUUCUGGCAGGCUGGACCAGGGCUGGUGCUAAAGUUCCCCCAGGAGGGCUGGGGGAGUUA